GGAUCCAGCUGUCCAGGUAGAGAGAGCCACAGCUCACUGAGGAAGCCUGGCUUUUAUGCCCUUCCUCCCAGGUGCAGACAAUCACUAAUCAAGGGCAGGCAGAGCAACCAGGAAGCCAGGCAAACAAAUGGGCGGGCCCAGCACCUACCACAGAACAGAGGCACAAACAGCCUGGGAAGAACAGACGGCCGGGGCCGUCACAGUGGUCACAGAAAUGGAAUACACUGCAAGAAUGUAAUUAUGCUGCGAUUUGAUACAAAGAUAAGUGUUUUUGUUUUCUGCAUUGAAAGGGGAAAUACAUUGAGAAGUAUUAAUGUUAAUAUAUUUUAUUUCAAUAUGUUGCACAAUAUUUCAUUUUCCAUAUGGGUCCAUCAAACCUGCUAAUCCUGUACUGAAACAGCACAAUGAGAUUUGUCAGCAUUUUACAAGAUGGUGACAGGCUGAGAGUAGACAGGGAUUGAGAUACAGUAGUUUAAAAAUAAGUGAACAUGUGAAUCUGUUUCUCUUCAAGACAUAUAGAAAAAUCCGCUAUGAGCUUAAUUAAAAAAUAACUGCCUGAUGAAGUUUCAGGUGCUGGUCAUGUCAUGUUGGUCAUACAGCAGUGCAAAGCCAGUAGCUCAUGUAUUUAUCUUAAUUUCAUAGGGUAUUUAUUUAUUUGUUAUAUUAAACAGGAAAAAAGUUUCCAAGUUUAGUGAUGAGGUUAUAUAAGAUACUGUACACACAAGUUUAAAAACUGCAUCUGCUUAAAACUGCUUUGCUUUGUCCAAAAGAUACAGUGAGUUGGAAAAGAAUAUAUAUGAGAACGGAUAAUGGUAGAAAACAGUGAAGCAUUUAGGGAAACACCCUUCAGGCCAGUUUCUUGUUUAGUGAACACUGAAUGUUGAUAUUGUACAUUCUAAUUACAAAACCCCAUCUUUUCAGAUAUCCCCAAACCUCCAUGUUUAUUUUGCAAUCACAGUGAUUCCUAUUCACUUCUGCAAUGCGCCAGAUUUAAAGAAAUGCUUUGAACAUUCGUUUUUUCUUCACGCAGCUAUAUAUUAUUUUGUGGUCAAGUCUUUUCUUUUUUUUCUUACUUCUGCUUUCCUCAUUGGGAUAGCAAGUAUGGUAUGCCAUCCACCAAAUUAUGGGUUGGCGAUUCAUACCACAAUAUUUAAAUAUACAAAAAUACCUUCAGUGCACGCAGGGGGAACUGAAACCUCUCAGCUCUUUGUUUUUUUUUUGGAGAUUAUGCAACAUUCAUUCACUUGGUGUUUAAAGUGAUAUGUUAUUGAUGACUGCUGUUGUUGACAGCAUGGUUUCUCUUACUGACAGGAAGCAGGGGGGUUAAAUAAACUUUGUUGGCAUCUCAUGCUUUGCAUACUCUCAGGUGAGACACACUUCCGUACAGCCUUCAGGUGAUUCCAGUCAACUCAAGAAGAAUCUUCCUUUUUUCUUUUUCGCAAAUGAAUGCACAAAAGUGUGAAUUAUAUAUAUAUAUAUAUAUAGUGGUACACAAAGGGGAGAAGUUUAAAAAACUCACAGAGAAACGGUGGCAGACAUGGAUCAAAAACCUUCGUCUUAAGUCUGGACGAGCGGACUCCGACAAUGCUCGUGUAUGCAGUGAAAGGUAAGGCUAAAGUAAUUUUGCUACCUACAGACCUAGCUAAAACUGACAAAAAAUACAAACCAGGGUGCGAUAUUAUCACCCUGUGGUGUUUGUUCUGCAGCUAGUGUUUCACAGUUUUAGUUAGCUAGCUAGUUAGCUACCGGGAGAUAGCUAGCUGGCUAAAACUGCGAAACACUAGCUGCAGAACAAACACCACAGGGUGAUAAUAUCACAGAUGUAGCUAGCUAUGUUUCCUGCAAUAUCACCACCCUGGUCUGUAUUUUUUGUCAGUGUUUUUGUCUUUAGCUAGCAAGCUACCGGGAGAUUUGUUUUUAGCGAUGCUAGAGCUAUCACCAAACACUACUAAACAACGCGAAGCUACUGUUAACCCUCAUUGCUGUCACCGUGGGGUGUUUGUUCUGUAGUUUGAUAGUAUCAAUUAACAAGGUAUCACUUUGCUAUUUAUUUUAUUUAUGCUGCCCGAGUGCUGUCAAAGAUGUAGACUCUACAGACUGGGCUCCUAUGGUUCAUCCUGGUUAUCAGCCAGGUAAACCAAUGACCGAGGCAUUGCGUCUACGAGAGGAAAGGUUGAAGUCCAGAGAAGCAGAUCAGACCUGCACCGACAUUGCUGGACCUCAGUAAGUUAGCUGAGAGCCCAGAAUCAGAAUACUUCAAAGAUGCAGGAUGCCAUCUUGAGAAGAUGGAAGAUGUUCUGAAUCAAUCAUCAGUGGAGUUGAGUGAGCUCAGGACUAAAGCAUUGGACACACAAUUUAGCCAAGUGGCUUUUCAGAACAAUGAAGACAAGACUAAGUUUUACACAGUAUUUCCCAAUUUCUUAGUUUUGAUGCGAGUGUUUCAACUAUGUGAGCCACACAUCACCUCUAGCUCUUUGUCUGCGCUCUCCAAAUUAGAAUCGUUCAUUUUGGUUUUACUUCGGUUGAGACUAAAUCUUUCACUCCAAGAUUUGGCUUUCAGGUUCAAUGUUUCCUGUUCCACCGUUUCUUGAAUUUGGCACAAGUUAAUUGGCAUACUUCAUGAAAGACUGGAGUUUAUAACUGGAGUGGCCAGAGCGAGAGGUAUUUGCACUUGUUUUUGAAGUUUCAUCGUCUGUAGUCAUCGAUCUUUUCUUUGUUUGUUCGGCCAUAGUAACUGUUUACUCGCAGUGGCAACACUAGCAGAGACCGGGAAAAAACUGUACACUACUCACACACAAGUGAGUUGAAGAGUGUUAACUUGAAGUUGUGUUAACUCCGCCUACCCUCUCUGGCGGACCAACUACUGAUGGGUGAUGGAAAACGAGUCACUAACUGUGCGCCGCUUGUGAUUUUUUCCUGGGAAUGUCGCCACAGACACCCAUUUCUUUAAUCAUAAAUUAUUAUAAUAAUAUAAAUUAAUAUAAUAAUAGGCUCAAUCACCAUUGUGUUACCUAAUUCGGUUAUUACUUUAAACAAACGAGACUGAAAACAUCUCAUUUUAAAAUGAUUUGUAAUAUUUAAUUAAAUAGAAAUGCAAUUUUCUUGUGGAAAAAUUUAGCACACCCCUGUCUUUAUGACUACCUCAUAAUGCCUUAAGUUGGUAUUGGAUGCAUCAAAUCAAGUCUAAAUAAAUACAAUAUAUUAAGAUAUUUUGCCAUAUUUAAAAUAUCAUUUGGUUUUCACUUUGUAAGUUGCUGUCCCAACACUUCAGGAAGAACACAGUGUGUGAAGAAAUCCUGAACUCUGGGAACGACGUAUCAGGCAAAAUUCUCUCUACAAAGAUGUCAUUUUUGUUCCACACUACAAAGUCGCAAUGGUCAGCUUCCACAAUGUGGAGCUGAGUCUUUUCUUAGUAGUAGUAGGCAUGGCUCCUGUCCAGUUUCACAUCGUCCCCAUCAUUGAUGAGACAGAAGCCCUGGUCUUCAGCACAUAGGCAUAGAUUGACCUCAUCUUCGCAUCAAAUUUAAAACAUUGGUCCUAGCAUACCAGGCAGUCAAGGGAUCAGCCCCAGCAUACCUCCACAAGAUAUUCAAACCCUACAUGCCAGCCAGAUCCCUCCGUUCUGCUACCUCAGGACGCCUAGCACCUCCCCCUCUUCACACCUGCACUUCCAGAACACGUCUCCUGUCUGUUCUGGCCCCACGAUGGUGGAAUGACCUCCCCGUGGAGGUCAGAACAGCUGAGACACUGACCCAUUUCAAACGACGAUUGAAGACUCACCUCUUCAGGCUGCACCUCUCCCCAUCCCUCCCUACCCCCCCUGUAAAUGACUGUAAGCUUAGGGUUGUAACUAGGCAGCUGUUUCGUAGGUGACUUAGGUGCAUUAACUGUCUUAACUACUGCUUGUAUUUUUUCCAUAGACUGCGUUGUUGCCGUUCUCGUUGUGUUAGUGUUAAUCAGUUUAACCUUCAGGGUCCAAGUUGAACUAUGCGGUUGUUCCCUGCACUUGGACUGGUACUUCUCUCUAGGGGUUUCGUCAUACUUGUUCCUGGUUAUGGUUAUACACUUUGUUGUAUGUCGCUCUGGAUAAGAGCGUCUGCCAAACGCCUGUAAUAUAAUGUAAUGCAAUGUAAUGUAAUCUUGUUUGCGGUGUGGGCACUAAAAGUUCACAAUGAAAAGAAAGUCACCUCUUCUGCAUGCCAUCUCCUGUUCAAAUUUUCAGCUCCAAGAUCUGUUCAUCCAUAUUUUAUUUACAUGCUGUUUCUAUGUCUUUACAACAUGAAUGGGAACAUGUUUGCAUUGAACCUAUAUAAUUACUAAGUUACUUUUCUCACAAUCCCAGUUCCAUUAGUCCAUGUGACUAAUGGAACUGGGAUUUGUGAGAAAAGUAACUCACAAUGCCUAUAUACCUGCUCUAAUGUGUCAUUUAUGAGUUGUCACAACAUGAAUGGUAAAUGGGUAGCACAUGUCCAUACUGAACAAAUAACUGUUACCUUUAUCUCACAAAUCCCAGUUCCAUGACAGGCGCACAUGACAACUCCAUCUGGUGAGGCUCCCAUGUAUGGCUACUUCGGAUUCAGCCAAAGUCCACUGUCCAUACAGGAGAAACCCUCGUUGUCCACACUUUACAGUUGUUCAUACUGUUUUCUGGCAGUUGCCUCAUAUUAGCAUCCAUACCUGUAAUGCAUAAAAGUAGCAAUAGAAAAAGAGAACAUUGUACUGCACAAUUAGUAACUGAUUUACAAAAUGUGAUGUGGGUCAGCAUUUAUAGGGAUAAUUCUAGUGCACUCGUUUACAUCAUCCUGACCUCAAAGCUUAAACAUACUCCUAGCCAGCCCUAACCUGUGUGUCAUAAUAGGUCAAUUGCAGAUGUUCACACUUGUGUUGUCCUUACCUAGCCCUUACUUUUCCCUAAUAAAUACCUUGUCGCAGCUGUAGAGAGCUUGUGUGGCUCUGGGUAGCAUAUGGACUUGAUCAAGGACUUUGACGGCUGUGAAAGACUAGUCUGUAGAACCUGCUUCAGUUUAGAGGCUGUUAUCCUUCCCUGCUCAUAUUGUGGAUGAGCUCUGGUUUCUGGUCUCCUCUUCUACUGCCUGGACUUGUGACUGUGUUAGUUCUUCCUGUCUGAAAUCCUUGCAUGCUUUCUGUAACUCUGUUGGAGGUAGCUGCAGUGUCUCUGGUGUCCUAUACACAGUUAGUGGUUUAGGUAGCUUGCACACAGACUUUGGGACAAAUUCUCUUGAAUAUGGCGCCCUGGACAUCAGUGCAGCACUUCUUGGGGAAUUUCUGUGUAAAGCCUCGAAAAACUGAGUAUAUGUCUUUGAUCCUCCCUUCACUCUUGGACAUUGGACUGUGGGACUCUCAAGUGCGUGUUGCUCACCUGUCCUCCCUGCAAUAGCAUCAUCUAGUUUUUGCUUUUUAGAUUUUGCAGAUGAAAAGUCUAUCAUUGCACCUGGAGUGGCAGGAAUCUGAAAGUGUGAGAGGCACAGAGAACAGCAGCACUUUAAAUGUAGGCCUACAUACAGCUCAUACUGAAACAGAAGUAAAUGGCAUGCAUUUGAAUACCUUUUUGACAUGCAAUGGCAUUAACCACUUGCACUUUUCCAUAGUGCAGAGUGCAGUCUCUCUCAUUUUAACACCACCUUCAAUGGCAAACACUGCUCCAACAUGUGAGCAAGAUUCUGACAAUUAGUAUAUGUUGGUGGAAAGGAGGGAUUUUUGUUUUUCAACUAGUUAAUCUGACAAUGUUGACAAGCACAAUAAUGCAACUAUUACAAGUAAACAACACAAACAUCUGACAGACUGCUUUGUUUAAGAGCUUCAGAACCUAAUUUUCCGUUUUAAUUUUGUGACAAUAUUGACAUUAAAUUAAAGCAGAGACUUGACCUUGUGAAUUACAACUCAAAACUGAAAUUUGAGUUUGAUACACAAAUAGAGUAGUUUGUUAAAUAAGACUAAUACAUUUCUCAAUAGCCAAAUAACAUUAUUCCUUUCAGUUAAACUCUUAACCUUAGACAGACUCUGGGCUCAUGCAGUGGUUAAGCUUUCAUAAUGCCUUUUGUAUUACUGUACUCUAUAUUCUCUUCUAUAAAAUAAAUACAAAUGUGAUCUUAGUUAUGAGGAAGUACUGGAUGUGUCAUUUCUGCAAAGUAUGACAAACCUUUAUUAUUAAAAUGAAUCUUGCCAUUUAAAACUUAAUCCCCUACCUUUUUCCUUUGUUGUCUGAAAAAAAUGGAACCACAUCCUAAAUUAGCCAAUGCUUUUAACAUCUUAAAUUAUGUUACACUGAUAUCCUGAUGUCCACUGUCCUGAAAGUCAUAUGAUGCUGUGUUGUUUUUUUUUCUUGUGUAAAGAGACAACAUUACAAUAAAGAACUGAAAAUA